AGGUGCUGGCAAGUAUCAGUGCUUUGGCCCCACUGUCUACAGUCUUAUCCAUUUGGCGCCUGAUCUAGUGCUCUCACAUUACCAGCAGUGGGUUCUGUUUUCGACUGUGAAAAGCUAACCCAUCAAGCAGUCUGCUGCUUCCAGCUACCGUAGUCCCACAACAUGAUGUUAAGCUGUAUGUUGCUGGUUUGUGGUGGUGCUGUUUGAGUUUGACAAGGAACAUAUUAUGCAAAGCAGUGCUGGCCCUGUCCCCAGGAGCAAAAGCACCUUGAAGCCACUCCAACGUCAGAGGAAAUGAGACAGGCCUUCCACUUCAGUUGGUGCUGAAGCAGGCAGAAAAGAACUGCAUGGCAGCAUCUGUCAGCAGCCUCAUGAUGUGAUGGUCUGUACUGUGUUGUUCUCAAAGAUGGAUGAUAAAAGAUAUUCCAGCAUACAUUAAGAUGGAGUUACAGUUCAAUACAUAGCAGGAACUUAAGGGUAAAAACAUUACAGGGAUGUUGAAAUUAACCCAAAACCAAGCAUUAAAAAUCGAGAACCUUCAGAGUAAAAAUCCAACCAUGUUAAGAUAUGGAAACACAUAGUUUAGGUACCUAUAUAACCUUAACUCUGCCCUGUGGGGGACACUGUGCAAUAAGCAGAUGAUUAUUAUGAAACCAUCUUAGCAGUUGGUCUAGAUUAAACUGAUUUUUAAAGCUUUUAGGAGUUUUUCAUCUCUCUUCCUACUCUCAGGUAUCACUACAGGACAGCAUUAAUGGUGUUUGGAUGCAUUAACUGUUUCAUUCUUGACCUAAUGGAACAAAAGGGCUUUUGUAAAAUGGAGGUUUGAAUGAUGGGAAGAGAGAGCUAACUUUUCAGUAAGUUACAUGAUGAAGCAAGGUGCGGUUUCUUCUGAUUAGACUGAACAUUUGUGGCCAAUGUCUGGAAACAAGACUUCCCCUCCCCCCCAACUUCCUCUAAUGGAGAAAUACUGGCACAUAAGGGAUACUACAGCAGUGGAGAAAAACUGAUUACACAUAGGAAGGCCCCAGUCCUGCAACUGACUCCAAAUAGGCCUACCUUGGUGUCCAUGUAGAGCCCUGUUCACUUCCAGAUGAGCCAGGGGUCUCCUGUGUGUUUCUCAGGGCAGGGUCAGGCACUAC